rnacentral:rRNA from 1 species
UACGGAGGGAGCUAGCGUUGUUCGGAAUUACUGGGCGUAAAGCGCGCGUAGGCGGCUUUGUAAGUUAGAGGUGAAAGCCCGGGGCUCAACUCCGGAAUUGCCUUUAAGACUGCAUCGCUUGAAUCCGGGAGAGGUGAGUGGAAUUCCGAGUGUAGAGGUGAAAUUCGUAGAUAUUCGGAAGAACACCAGUGGCGAAGGCGGCUCACUGGACCGAGACUGACGCUGAGGCGCGAAAGCGUGGGGAGCAAACAGG